UACGUAGGGUGCAAGCGUUGUCCGGAAUUAUUGGGCGUAAAGAGCUCGUAGGCGGUUUGUCGCGUCUGCUGUGAAAACGCGAGGCUCAACCUCGCGCCUGCAGUGGGUACGGGCAGACUAGAGUGCGGUAGGGGAGAUUGGAAUUCCUGGUGUAGCGGUGGAAUGCGCAGAUAUCAGGAGGAACACCGAUGGCGAAGGCAGACUCUGGGCCGUUACUGACGCUGAGGAGCGAAAGCGUGGGGAGCGAACAGG
rnacentral:rRNA from 1 species